GACGAACGCUGGCGGCGUGCUUAACACAUGCAAGUCGAACGGAAAGGCCCUGCUUUUGUGGGGUGCUCGAGUGGCGAACGGGUGAGUAACACGUGAGUAACCUGCCCUUGACUUUGGGAUAACUUCAGGAAACUGGGGCUAAUACCGGAUAGGAGCUCCUGCUGCAUGGUGGGGGUUGGAAAGUUUCGGCGGUUGGGGAUGGACUCGCGGCUUAUCAGCUUGUUGGUGGGGUAGUGGCUUACCAAGGCUUUGACGUGUAGCCGGCCUGAGAGGGUGACCGGCCACAUUGGUACUGAGGUACGGCCCAGACUCCUACGGGAGGCAGCAGUGGGGAAUAUUGCACAAUGGGCGGAAGCCUGAUGCAGCAACGCCGCGUGCGGGAUGACGGCCUUCGGGUUGUAAACCGCUUUCGCCUGUGACGAAGCGUGAGUGACGGUAAUGGGUAAAGAAGCACCGGCUAACUACGUG
rnacentral:rRNA from 1 species